CGGGUUGUAAAGCCCUUUAAGCUGGGAAGAAGCUAGUUGCGCGAAUACCGCAAUUAGUUGACGGUACCGGCAGAAUAAGCGCCGGCAAACUCUGUGC
rnacentral:rRNA from 1 species